rnacentral:rRNA from 1 species
GACGAACGCUGGCGGCGUGCUUAAUACAUGCAAGUCGAGCGAACAGACGAGGCGCUUGCUCCUCGCACGUUAGCGGCGGACGGGAGAGUAACACGUGUAUAACCUACCUAUAAGACUGGGAUAACUUCGGGAAACCGGAGCUAAUCCCGGAUAAUCUCUUGAACCGCAUGGUUGAAUAGUGAAAGACGGUUUUGCUGUCACUUAUAGAUGGUUCUGCGCCGCAUUAGCUAGUUGGUAAGGUAACGGCUUACCAAGGCAACGACGCGUAGCCGACCUGAGAGGGUGAUCGGCCAAACUGGAGCUGAGACACGGUCCAGACUCCUAAGGGAGGCAGCAGUAGGGAAUCUUCCGCAAUGGGCGAAAGCCUGACGGAGCAACGCCGCGUGAGUGAUGAAGGUCUUCGGAUCGUAAAACUCUGUUAUUAGGGAAGAACAAAUGUGUAAGUAACUAUGCACGUCUUGACGGUACCUAAUCAGAAAGCCACGGCUAACUACGUG